rnacentral:rRNA from 1 species
GUUUUGGUCCUAAACUUGCCGUUGUUUUUUACCAAAUUUACACAUGCAAGCCUCCACAUCCCAGUGAGAAUGCCCCAAAACCCCAAACAGCCAAGAGGAGCCGGCAUCAGGAUCAGAGCUUCACUCUAGCCUAAAACGCCUUGCUACGCCACACCCACACGGGCACUCAGCAGUGAAUAACAUUAAGACAUGAGCGAAAGCUCGACUUAGUUACGGUAAACAUGGCCGGUAAAUUUCGUGCCAGCCACCGCGGUUAUACGAAAGGCCAAAAACAACGACCCACGGCGUAAAGCGUGACCAAAGCAUGUCAAAGAUUUAAAGAAAUAUUGCCCCAAAGUCGUAAAACGCCUUGUCCGCAAGACCACCAACAACAAAAUGACUUUAAAAAAAAGACUUCUUGCCUCACGAAAGCUAAGAAACAAACUAGGAUUAGAUACCCUACUAUGCUUAGCCCUAAACAUAGACAGCACACACACAAUGCUGUCCGCCAGAGAACUACAAGUGAAAAACUAGAAACUCCAAGGACUUGGCGGUGCUCCACACCGACCUAGAGGAGCCUGUCCUAUAAUCGAUAAUCCACGCUAUACCUCACCACCCCUUGCAACUCAGCCUAUAUACCGCCGUCGUCAGCUUACCCUAUGAAGGAAACAAAGUAAGCAAAAUAGUUUAUAACUAAAACGUCAGGUCAAGGUGUAGCACAUGGGGUGGAAGAGAUGGGCUACACUUUCUGCCACAGAACACACGAACAGCACAAUGAAAUUAGUGCUCAAAGGCGGAUUUAGCAGUAAGAAAAACAAGACAAUUUUUCUGAAGUUCGCUCUGGAGCGCGCACACACCGCCCGUCACCCUC